rnacentral:rRNA from 1 species
GGUUAAGCGACUAAGCGUACACGGUGGAUGCCCUGGCAGUCAGAGGCGAUGAAGGGCGUGCUAAUCUGCGAUAAGCGCCGGUAAGGUGAUAUGAACCGUUAUAACCGGCGAUACCCGAAUGGGGAAACCCAGUGUGAUUCGUCACACUAUCAUUAACUGAAUCCAUAGGUUAAUGAGGCGAACCGGGGGAACUGAAACAUCUAAGUACCCCGAGGAAAAGAAAUCAACCGAGAUUCCCCCAGUAGCGGCGAGCGAACGGGGAGGAGCCCAGAGCCUGAAUCAGCAUGUGUGUUAGUGGAAGCGUCUGGAAAGGCGCGCGAUACAGGGUGACAGCCCCGUACACAAAAGCGCAUGUGCUGUGAGCUCGAUGAGUAGGGCGGGACACGUGGUAUCCUGUCUGAAUAUGGGGGGACCAUCCUCCAAGGCUAAAUACUCCUGACUGACCGAUAGUGAACCAGUACCGUGAGGGAAAGGCGAAAAGAACCCCGGCGAGGGGAGUGAAAAAGAACCUGAAACCGUGUACGUACAAGCAGUGGGAGCACAGGUUUACCUGUGUGACUGCGUACCUUUUGUAUAAUGGGUCAGCGACUUAUAUUCUGUAGCAAGGUUAACCGAAUAGGGGAGCCGGAGGGAAACCGAGUCUUAAUUGGGCGUUAAGUUGCAGGGUAUAGACCCGAAACCCGGUGAUCUAGCCAUGGGCAGGUUGAAGGUUGGGUAACACUAACUGGAGGACCGAACCGACUAAUGUUGAAAAAUUAGCGGAUGACCUGUGGCUGGGGGUGAAAGGCCAAUCAAACCGGGAGAUAGCUGGUUCUCCCCGAAAGCUAUUUAGGUAGCGCCUCGUGAAUUCAUCUCCGGGGGUAGAGCACUGUUUCGGCUAGGGGGCCAUCCCGGCUUACCAACCCGAUGCAAACUGCGAAUACCGGAGAAUGUUAUCACGGGAGACACACGGCGGGUGCUAACGUCCGUCGUGAAGAGGGAAACAACCCAGACCGCCAGCUAAGGUCCCAAAGUCAUGGUUAAGUGGGAAACGAUGUGGGAAGGCCCAGACAGCCAGGAUGUUGGCUUAGAAGCAGCCAUCAUUUAAAGAAAGCGUAAUAGCUCACUGGUCGAGUCGGCCUGCGCGGAAGAUGUAACGGGGCUAAACCAUGCACCGAAGCUGCGGCAGCGACGCUGAUGCGUUGUUGGGUAGGGGAGCGUUCUGUAAGCCUGCGAAGGUGGCCUGUGAGGGUUGCUGGAGGUAUCAGAAGUGCGAAUGCUGACAUAAGUAACGAUAAAGCGGGUGAAAAGCCCGCUCGCCGGAAGACCAAGGGUUCCUGUCCAACGUUAAUCGGGGCAGGGUGAGUCGACCCCUAAGGCGAGGCCGAAAGGCGUAGUCGAUGGGAAACGGGUUAAUAUUCCCGUACUUGGUGUUACUGCGAAGGGGGGACGGAGAAGGCUAUGUUGGCCGGGCGACGGUUGUCCCGGUUUAAGCGUGUAGGCUGGUUUUCCAGGCAAAUCCGGAAAAUCAAGGCUGAGGCGUGAUGACGAGGCACUACGGUGCUGAAGCAACAAAUGCCCUGCUUCCAGGAAAAGCCUCUAAGCAUCAGGUAACAUCAAAUCGUACCCCAAACCGACACAGGUGGUCAGGUAGAGAAUACCAAGGCGCUUGAGAGAACUCGGGUGAAGGAACUAGGCAAAAUGGUGCCGUAACUUCGGGAGAAGGCACGCUGACACGUAGGUGAAGUGAUUUACUCAUGGAGCUGAAGUCAGUCGAAGAUACCAGCUGGCUGCAACUGUUUAUUAAAAACACAGCACUGUGCAAACACGAAAGUGGACGUAUACGGUGUGACGCCUGCCCGGUGCCGGAAGGUUAAUUGAUGGGGUCAGCGCAAGCGAAGCUCCUGAUCGAAGCCCCGGUAAACGGCGGCCGUAACUAUAACGGUCCUAAGGUAGCGAAAUUCCUUGUCGGGUAAGUUCCGACCUGCACGAAUGGCGUAAUGAUGGCCAGGCUGUCUCCACCCGAGACUCAGUGAAAUUGAACUCGCUGUGAAGAUGCAGUGUACCCGCGGCAAGACGGAAAGACCCCGUGAACCUUUACUAUAGCUUGACACUGAACAUUGAGCCUUGAUGUGUAGGAUAGGUGGGAGGCUUUGAAGUGUGGACGCCAGUCUGCAUGGAGCCGACCUUGAAAUACCACCCUUUAAUGUUUGAUGUUCUAACGUGGACCCGUUACCCGGGUUGCGGACAGUGUCUGGUGGGUAGUUUGACUGGGGCGGUCUCCUCCUAAAGAGUAACGGAGGAGCACGAAGGUUGGCUAAUCCUGGUCGGACAUCAGGAGGUUAGUGCAAUGGCAUAAGCCAGCUUGACUGCGAGCGUGACGGCGCGAGCAGGUGCGAAAGCAGGUCAUAGUGAUCCGGUGGUUCUGAAUGGAAGGGCCAUCGCUCAACGGAUAAAAGGUACUCCGGGGAUAACAGGCUGAUACCGCCCAAGAGUUCAUAUCGACGGCGGUGUUUGGCACCUCGAUGUCGGCUCAUCACAUCCUGGGGCUGAAGUAGGUCCCAAGGGUAUGGCUGUUCGCCAUUUAAAGUGGUACGCGAGCUGGGUUUAGAACGUCGUGAGACAGUUCGGUCCCUAUCUGCCGUGGGCGCUGGAGAACUGAGGGGGGCUGCUCCUAGUACGAGAGGACCGGAGUGGACGCAUCACUGGUGUUCGGGUUGUCAUGCCAAUGGCACUGCCCGGUAGCUAAAUGCGGAAGAGAUAAGUGCUGAAAGCAUCUAAGCACGAAACUUGCCCCGAGAUGAGUUCUCCCUGAGACUUAGAGUCUCCUGAAGGAACGUUGAAGACGACGACGUUGAUAGGCCGGGUGUGUAAGCGCAGCGAUGCGUUGAGCUAACCGGUACUAAUGAACCGUGAGGCUUAACCUUACAACGCCG